UUGUUUAAUAUUUAAUUUUUGUUUGUGUAGUCCACGAAACAUAUGGUGAAGUCCAUGGUGAAGUCCACGUUUGUUUAAAAAAAAACCAUUGUGCGUUAACGUGGUAACAUGGAAUAAACAUAAACCACGAUGUUAAAAAACUUUUCACAGUACUGCAGACCUGAAGAUAUUUAAAAUUGUGUAUUAUAAAGAUAUUGUCAUUGGAUUUUAAACUUGGAUUUUUAGAGAGAAAUUUUUGCUUUUGGAAAUUCUUUACUGGAUUUGGACUUGAAGUUUGUUUUUGGAUUUGUAAAGAAAUGUUUAGGUUGUAAUAUUUGUGAAGGUCUAGAGAGUUAUAAUCCAUUGUCAAAACUCUACAAUGUUAUUUAUUCCUAAAGUGAAACUUAAGCUCGCAAAAUAAUCUGGCUUCUUCUCUAUAAUGGGUGUAAAAAUUUUCAAUACACUGCCCAAAGAGAUACAGUGAACAGGUUCGGUCGCAAAGUUUUAGGAAUAGAGUCAGUAGUCAUUUUAAUUGCAAAUAAUUUUUAUUAUUUUGAUAUUUUGAUAAUUUUGUUUUUCGAUGAUAAUUACACUAAUCGUAUGUUUGUCCCUUGAUUCGUCUACCUAAACACUCCUAUCUGAAGUCUUCCAAGAGCGGUAUUAGAAAUAAUACCUGUCUCUCUUCCCUGCUUUUGCUAUUGCCCUAUAAUUUUUUUGUACGCUUUCCUUAUUGAAAAAUAUCAAAAGGGAAAAAUGAUGAGUUUAGUUUUAUUUGUUUCAGUCACAAUGUAUAUUUUACAUGAUUUUUUGUUAUAUAUACGUAUGUCUUUAUCGGUUCUUUAUCAGGACACGCAAUUAUAGCAGUAAUUUAUUACUAAAGUGUAAAUCUUUAUGAUAAAUAAAUAAAUUACUCUUUGAA